rnacentral:lncRNA from 1 species
UCUGCAGCUGAUACCAAUUCCCGAUAGGGAAUUUGUCCUCUAGUUUUAUAAGAUGUUCCCAUCGAGAGAAACUGCUUAAAAAAAUACAGGAGAACCCUCUCCUAGGUCCGACUACGGUAUGUAAAUCUACAAUUAUCACAAUGUAAAAAGUUUACAUGUAAACUUACAGGGGAAUUGAAAUUUACCACAAAUCUCCAAUUGAGUCUACUGUGCUCUAGCACACCGAAAUUCUGAGGGUCUAAGCAUGUGUUUGGAGUUCACGGAGUUCCCACUGGGGCUCAGCAGGAUAAGAACCUGACUGGUAUGCAUGAAGAUGCGGGUUCAAUCCUUGGCCUCACUCGGUGGGUUAAGGGCCUGGCGUUGCUGCAAGCUGCGGCUUAGGUGGUAGAUGCGGCUGGGAUCUGGUGUGGCUGUGGCAGGGGCAUAGGCCUGCAGCUGCGGCUCCAAUUGAAUCCUUAGUCUGGGAACUUUCAUAUGCUGCACCUGUAGCCAUAAAAAAGAAAAAAUAAUAAUAGUAAUUAUAGUUCACAAAACUGCUGGCUUUGAUCCUCUUGUCCCUUCCAACUCAGUAGCCUGGAAACCUCCCAGAGCUCUAUCUUAAGAUCUGUGCUUUUCUGUGGCACUUUCUCCCCUCCUCAUUGUUCUGGGUUCAUUAGAUAAAACUGUCCCAAACUCCUGCUGAGAGAUGAUCUAUUGUGAGAUAGCUUUGUGAGGCAGAACACAGGAAACCUCAGGGUCUUAUCUCCUGUGAGCCGUCUGUUUUUCCCCAACAGCCCAAUAAAGGAGACUCCUCAGCUGGCGGGGAGUGGUUGGGAAGGCAGACACGGUCCCCAGACCCCUGACCCCUGACCCCACCCUCCACGGCCCUCUCUGUCGCAGGCAGCUGCGUUUCUUGUGGGCUGAGCCAGGGCUGGGAGGGUGAACAGUUCCUUCUCAGAUGGGCAAAGAGGACUUGUCCUGAUGGCUCUCUCAAUCUCUGCAAGGUCUCUGUUCACGUGUAUGUCCUGCUGAGUCGUAGUUCGGAGGAAGAGAAAAAUAGUCCAUUACAGACGUCGUAAAAUGUCUCUCUCCUCAUCAUGGAUCAAAGCUGUUUUCAUCAUUUCCUUGGCAGGACCUCUUCAUUCUGGUGAGUAGAUUUUCAUCUGCAGUGAAACAUGUUACAUAUCUUAGAAAGUGCAGGAAAAAGUUCUGUAAUCCAGGAAUGGAGGAGCUUGUGUUUUAUUGGGUUU